rnacentral:rRNA from 1 species
UACGAAGGGGGCUAGCGUUGUUCGGAUUAACUGGGCGUAAAGGGUGCGUAGGCGGGUCUUUAAGUCAGGGGUGAAAUCCUGGAGCUCAACUCCAGAACUGCCUUUGAUACUGAGGAUCUUGAGUUCGGGAGAGGUGAGUGGAACUGCGAGUGUAGAGGUGAAAUUCGUAGAUAUUCGCAAGAACACCAGUGGCGAAGGCGGCUCACUGGCCCGAUACUGACGCUGAGGCACGAAAGCGUGGGGAGCAAACAGG